ACACCUCAACUCUCAUGGUUUGCCAUGAUGAGCUUGGACUUUGGAGGUCUUGCUGGCCUACGGUCGGCUCCUCUCAAAUGAAUCAGCUUGCCAGUGUUUGGUGGCGUCACGGGUGUGAUAACUAUCUACGCUUGUGGUUUUCACCAGGUAACCUUCAGCGAUGGAGGUUCGCUGGAGCUCACAAAUGUCUCUCCUCGGUGAGGACAGCUUUUGAAC
rnacentral:misc_RNA from 1 species